rnacentral:lncRNA from 1 species
AACAACAUAUACACGCUGGCGUGGUCUCAUUGUGAUAGCUUCAGCUAUUGACGUGGCAUUUCGUCCUACGCACGACAAUGUGGGCAGCAUGUUUUGCCUCGGCAUCGUUGCUGCUGGCUUUGGCGCUCGCACUGAAUUGCCCUGAGAAUUACAAUGACAUCGGGAGCGGCUGCGUGCUCGCCCCCGCCGAGCGGUUGCCCGCGCUCGAGGCCCAGAGCCUCUGUCAUGACCUGCAUGGAGCGCUCGCCACCCUCGACCGCUGCGACAUUUUCGCGGACGCUGUGCACUAC